rnacentral:rRNA from 1 species
ACAGCAGCCGCCGCGGGAAUACGUAGGGUGCGAGCGUUAAUCGGAAUUACUGGGCGUAAAGCGUGCGCAGGCGGUUAUAUAAGACAGAUGUGAAAUCCCCGGGCUCAACCUGGGACCUGCAUUUGUGACUGUAUAGCUAGAGUACGGUAGAGGGGGAUGGAAUUCCGCGUGUAGCAGUGAAAUGCGUAGAUAUGCGGAGGAACACCGAUGGCGAAGGCAAUCCCCUGGACCUGUACUGACGCUCAUGCACGAAAGCGUGGGGAGCAAACAGGAUUAGAUACCCCUGUAGUCCCUGUCUCUUAUAC